rnacentral:sRNA from 1 species
GGGGUAAGCCAGGCCCGGGACCCCCCCACCAGUGUACGCAGAGCUCAGCAGCCACCCACAUCCCGUGGGCCUGGCUCCCCCUGACCUGUGCUCUCCUGGCCACAGAAGCACUCGGCGGCCACGGACAUCACGUCCUCCCUAUCAGACGACCAGGUACCCGAGGCCUUCCUGGUCAUGCUGCUGAUCCAGUUCAGCACCAUGGUGGUGGACCGCGCCCUCUACCUGCGCAAGACCGUGUUGGGCAAGCUGGCCUUCCAGGUGGUGCUGGUGCUGGCCAUCCACCUAUGGAUGUUCUUCAUCCUGCCCGCCGUUACUGAGAGGAUGUUCAGCCAGAAUGCGGUGGCCCAGCUGUGGUACUUCGUGAAAUGCAUCUACUUCGCCCUGUCCGCCUACCAGAUCCGCUGCGGCUACCCCACCCGCAUCCUCGGCAACUUCCUCACCAAGAAGUACAAUCACCUCAACCUCUUCCUCUUCCAGGGGUGAGUGCAGGUCCGCCGGGGUGGGGGUCACGGCCUGGGCAGGAGGGAGCCCACCUGACGGGAACCCUGGCUGUGGGCAGGUUCCGGCUGGUGCCGUUCCUGGUGGAGCUGCGGGCAGUGAUGGACUGGGUGUGGACGGACACCACGCUGUCCCUGUCCAGCUGGAUGUGCGUGGAGGACAUCUAUGCCAACAUCUUCAUCAUCAAAUGCAGCCGAGAGACAGAGAAGGUGACUGGGCCCAGGGCGGGGGCCUGGACAAGGGCCAGGGAUGUGCCCUCUCCCUAAGACAGAGGCACUGCUGCCACGAGAACCCGUGGUGCUGGAGGCCCUCCCAGGGCUCGGAGCCCAUGGGGACAUGAGGCGAGCCCACCCACUAGCUGAUCAUGAGGCCAGUGAUCUUGGCAGCUGCGAGUGAGUGCCGGGGGCAGAAGUGGGCAGUGGAGUUGGUCUUGUUCCAGGCAGGCGGGCAGCAGAGCAGGGCCUGGUGCAGGGAGGACCAGACAGACACUGUUUCCUGCGUUCUUGUUGAAUGGCUUUCUUCAGAGAGAAUUCAUGCAUCAGACCACUCACCCAUUUCAAAAGUACAAUUCAGGGGUUUUUAGUAGAUUCACAGUUGAGCAUCUGCCUUUUCACCACUUCAAAAAGAAACCCUGGGCCGGGCAUAGCGGCUCACACCUGUCAUCCCAGCACUUUAAGAGAUCGAGGAGGGAGGUACUGCUCAAGGCCAGGAGUUCAAGAUCUGCCUGGGCAACACAGUGAGACCCUGCCUCAGCAAAUGUAAAAAUUAAAAAAUUAGCUGGCAAUGGCAGCUCAUGCCUAUGGUCCCAGCACU